rnacentral:rRNA from 1 species
ACGAACGCUGGCGGCGUGGAUAAGACAUGCAAGUCGAACGAGAGAAUUGCUAGCUUGCUAAUAAUUCUCUAGUGGCGCACGGGUGAGUAACACGUGAGUAACCUGCCCCCGAGAGCGGGAUAGCCCUGGGAAACUGGGAUUAAUACCGCAUAGUAUCGAAAGAUUAAAGCAGCAAUGCGCUUGGGGAUGGGCUCGCGGCCUAUUAGUUAGUUGGUGAGGUAACGGCUCACCAAGGCGAUGACGGGUAGCCGGUCUGAGAGGAUGUCCGGCCACACUGGAACUGAGACACGGUCCAGACACCUACGGGUGGCAGCAGUCGAGAAUCAUUCACAAUGGGGGAAACCCUGAUGGUGUGACGCCGCGUGGGGGAAUGAAGGUCUUCGGAUUGUAAACCCCUGUCAUGUGGGAGCAAAUUAAAAAGAUAGUACCACAAGAGGAAGAGACGGCUAACUCUGUGCCAGCAGCCGCGGUAAUACAGAGGUCUCAAGCGUUGUUCGGAAUCACUGGGCGUAAAGCGUGCGUAGGCUGUUUCGUAAGUCGUGUGUGAAAGGCGCGGGCUCAACCCGCGGACGGCACAUGAUACUGCGAGACUAGAGUAAUGGAGGGGGAACCGGAAUUCUCGGUGUAGGAGUGAAAUGCGUAGAUAUCGAGAGGAACACUCGUGGCGAAGGCGGGUUCCUGGACAUUAACUGACGCUGAGGCACGAAGGCCAGGGGAGCGAAAGGGAUUAGAUACCCCUGUAGUCCUGGCAGUAAACGGUGCACGCUUGGUGUGCGGGGAAUCGACCCCCUGCGUGCCGGAGCUAACGCGUUAAGCGUGCCGCCUGGGGAGUACGGUCGCAAGAUUAAAACUCAAAGAAAUUGACGGGGACCCGCACAAGCGGUGGAGUAUGUGGCUUAAUUCGAUGCAACGCGAAGAACCUUACCUGGGCUUGACAUGUAAUGAACAACAUGUGAAAGCAUGCGACUCUUCGGAGGCGUUACACAGGUGCUGCAUGGCCGUCGUCAGCUCGUGUCGUGAGAUGUUUGGUUAAGUCCAGCAACGAGCGCAACCCCUGUUGCCAGUUACCAGCACGUGAAGGUGGGGACUCUGGCGAGACUGCCCAGAUCAACUGGGAGGAAGGUGGGGACGACGUCAGGUCAGUAUGGCCCUUAUGCCCAGGGCUGCACACGUACUACAAUGCCCAGUACAGAGGGGGCCGAAGCCGCGAGGCGGAGGAAAUCCUGAAAACUGGGCCCAGUUCGGACUGUAGGCUGCAACCCGCCUACACGAAGCCGGAAUCGCUAGUAAUGGCGCAUCAGCUACGGCGCCGUGAAUACGUUCCCGGGUCUUGUACACACCGCCCGUCACAUCAUGGAAGCCGGUCGCACCCGAAGUAUCUGAAGCCAACCGCAAGGAGGCAGGGUCCUAAGGUGAGACUGGUAACUGGGAUG